GUCGAGGUGGCGGAAUUGGCAGACGCGCACGUUUGAGGGGCGUGUGGGUUAACCGUACGGGUUCAAGUCCCGUCCUCGACACCA
rnacentral:tRNA from 1 species